UUAUUAUAAUUUAUAAUUUGUUUUUCAAGCCAAGUCAAUCUAAUCACAGGGUAGCUGCUAAACCUUUUACGGUUAGCCAGACGAAGAUUGUCGCCUGAACAGAUAUUUAUAUUAAUGAUCCUUCCGCAGGUUCACCUACGGAAA
rnacentral:misc_RNA from 1 species